UCGUGCUACAACAGGAGGUCAUCAA
rnacentral:piRNA from 1 species